GAUGAACGCUAGCGGCAGGCCUAAUACAUGCAAGUCGAACGGUGUCUUCGGACAUAGUGGCGCACGGGUGCGUAACACGUAUGCAACCUACCUUACAUUGGGGGAUAGCCUUUCGAAAGGGAGAUUAAUACCGCAUAAGACAGUAGCUGGGCAUCCAGCAGCUGUUAAAGAUUUAUCGAUGUAAGCUGGGCAUGCGUCCAAUUAGCUAGUUGGUGAGGUAACGGCUCACCAAGGCAAUGAUUGGUAGGGGAACUGAGAGGUCAAUCCCCCACCCUGGCACUGGCAUACGGGCCAGACUCCUACGGGAGGCAGCAGUAGGGAAUAGUGGGCAAUGGACGCAAGUCUGACCCAGCCAUGCCGCGUGCAGGAUGAAGGCGUUAUGCGUUGUAAACUGCUUUUAUACAGGAAGAAACGACUCUUGCGAGAGGCAUUGACGGUACUGUAUGAAUAAGCACCGGCUAACUCCGUGCCAGCAGCCGCAGUAAAAC
rnacentral:rRNA from 1 species